UUGAGUUUAAGAUUUGUUUACUGCACAGCGAUGCAACAGUUAACUUUUAUAUCUGCAAUCGUCCCAAACCUUUUGGACUGGACAUCGCAAAACGGGUCCUCACACUGCAAGCGAGUUAUAGAAUUCCCCCUAUACAAGUGUAGUCAAAAACACGACACAACAGUAGCGCAGUUGAACGCCUGAUUGCACAAUUAUGUAUUGAAUAGUGUACGAUUUGGUGAAUUACCGUAUGAUAAAACGAAUAAUUUUAUGAGUUUUGUUUAUAAUGUAUCACAACCCCGACUACUUUAGUCUGACCCCACAAGGGACAUAAUUCAAAUUUCAUUUAGCAGAGUAUUAAAUCAACAUGAACACGGAUUUUUACUAUGUUAUUAUCACGAAGCCGAUAACUGGUACAGUAAAUCGUAAAAACUCGGCAAAUUCGGGGCGUGCUUAAAAGCACAAAACACGAUGUUUUGGGUUCUAAAUAAUGAUAUAAACCAACAUAUUGAUCAAUAAGGAGUUCACUUUUUAAAGUAUGUCAAGUUUUAUCCAAAAAUAUCAUUAAAUAAGGAAUUACAAAAAGAAAACGUUAAAUUUUAGCCGAUAACUGGUACAGUGCCAGUAUAUGUUCUGAGUUUACCAAUUUGUUUACCAGGUAUUUGCUUUGUCUGCAAAAGCAUUUCUCAAAGUGUUUUUAUAUAUUUCACUAAAUUUGCUUGAUGCUAUUGAAUCAAUAUUUCUAUCAUGUAUAAGGUGUUGUAAAUGUAGUUUAUCUAGGAUAAAAUGAAUACUGCUACUUCA